UUAAAAUAUUCUAACAAGAUUUUAUUAAUUUUUAUAGAACACAAGAAAAUUUCAUUACCAUUUUUAAUAUUCUAACUAAUUAGUUUAAUCAUUUUAAUAUAUGGAAAUUUAAUUUGAGCUUAUUAAACAUUUUGUGGUUUUAAGGGAAUAUUUAUAUUUUAUUUAAUAAAUAUUAAUAUUAUAUAUAAAUGGUAAACAAUACUAAUAUAUUUUUCUUUUUGCACAGUUUUUUAAAGCUGAUAUUACAAUUAUAAAUCAUAUUAAAUAGAUGAUUCCACGACCGAUAAUAUUAUUUAGGAAAAUUCAUGUUUAAAUGCAUUAUUCCAACCGUCUUAUAAAAAUUUGACCAUGUUUAUUUGCACAAUGCUAAAAUAAGUCUGUAAGCAUUCUCACCGAUAAUGUGUCUACUUGUUUAAUAAUCCGGAACUAGAAAAAGAGAGCUUACCCACUGUUUAGUAGCCUAUUUGACCUCAAUUGUUUUUGCAUUAACAUAUCGCCACGAGUCUUCUGCAUUCAUUAUUCGAUUACUUUUAGUUGCCCUUGAUACUUAAAGAUUGAUAUAGAGGCUCUCUAUAGUGUUCAAAGGAUGCAGUCUAUGGUUGUACAGUUGGAAGAAGGGAAAGAGAACGGAAUCUCGGUUAGGACAGAACAGUAUAAGUCAUUUAGACCGCAACUGCUUCUUGUCCUAGGUCUUUUUCUUGCUGGUGGUGUUACUAUCUUCAUCAUUAGUACAAACAAGUAUACUGGACUACAAAGUGUAGUAACCACAGUCACUUCUAGCUUUGUCCCACGCCGCGAGGAGGAGCCUGACGGUUUAAGUAAAUGGAUACAACCUCCUGGGGUUCUGAUGCAUAACAUGAGCGAUGAAGAGCUUCUUUGGCGAGCUUCUUUCUGGCCUCGGAGAAAAGGAUAUCCGUUUAAAAGGGUUCCAAAGAUUGCCUUUAUGUUCUUGACAAGAGGCCCCUUGCCUCUUGCUUCGCUUUGGGAGAGGUUUUUGAAAGGUCACAAGGGGCUUUACUCGGUUUACAUUCAUCCCCAUCCAUCUUAUACAGCCAAGUUUCCAGCUGAUUCUGUUUUCUACCAGAGGCAGAUACCAAGUCAGCUUGCACAAUGGGGGAGAAUGAACAUGUGCGAGGCAGAGAGGCGGCUUCUCGCCAACGCCCUGCUAGAUAUUUCCAACGAAUGGUUUGUUCUAGUCUCAGAGUCAUGCAUCCCCCUCUUCAACUUCACAACAAUCUACACCUACUUAAGCCAAUCAAAACACAGCUUCAUGGAUGCUUUCGAUGACAAUGGACCCUUCGGUCGAGGCCGCUACAACGACAACAUGGAACCCCAAGUUCCCAUUGCCAAAUGGAGAAAAGGGUCACAAUGGUUUGAGGUAGACCGGGACCAUUGUCAAAGACACAUUAUAUUACCCGAAGUUCAGAGAGUUUUGUAGGCCUGCUUGCUAUUCAGACGAGCAUUAUUUCCCUACGAUGCUGACUAUUGAGAAACCAAUGGCGUUGGCUAACCGGAGCGUGACGUGGACCGACUGGUCUAGAGGGGGGUCCCACCCGGCUACGUUCGGAGAAUCAGACAUUACAGAGAACUUCUUUCAAAAGAUAUUUGAUGGUGUGAAUUGCACUUAUAAUGGUCGUAACACUUCUAUGUGUUAUCUCUUUGCGAGGAAGUUUGCUCCUAGUGCUUUGGAGCCGUUGCUUCACAUUGCUCCCAAGAUUAUGGGGUUUUAGAGAUUUUACGCCAAUAUCAUUUUAUUUUGUUUGUUUUUAAUACAAGUUUGGAGGUUAAGCAUGAUGCUAAAGUCAGAUAAGAAACUAAAAGUUUGGUCAUAAAACCGUAUAGACAAUAGGACAAAGGCUGAUAAGGCAGGCUCUUGUCUCCAACUCAUCACCUUAUGUCUUAUGAUUCUUAGAAGUUAGUAGUAAUUUGUUAACCGACCAAGGUUUUGUUUGGUUUGAAUGUGAAUACUUAAUACUUGGCAAAAGUGGCAUUGUGGCAAUGGGACAGAACACAGCCAGGUGUAGACGCACUUUUACACCUACCGAACUUCUCGAACCCAUCAAGAGCCUUGCCAUUUGCCAACACUUCAACCAUCUGUCUUUCUCUUAAUAAAAAAAUAAUCCAAUGGGCAAAAUUCAUUGUUUAAAAGAUUUCAGCAGGCUAAUGUUUAUUUUAUUGGAAUGCAGAAAGGAUACGAUAAUGCGGAAUUUAUUUAUUCGUUAUUGUUUACCACGUAUAACCUAUGGUUUAUUUAGAAUAGAGAGAAAUUCAAGAGAAUCCACCAACUUAUUGAAAGCUAAUGAAGAAAGUAGUUUUUGUCUUUCUUCAAAAUGAUGUUCACCACACACAAAAAGGAAGGAUAAAUGUUCCAUCUAUCUAUACAACUAAUCUUUAGCAUUUUUUCAAAAGGUAGACAAAUCAGAACGUAUACGUUUUAAAUGCGGUUUUACUUUGAACAAAAAUGGUAAUUGCGGAAGAUUCGUUAUUAACAUCCUAAUCACAAAAAUAGAAAAUCAACAUUGCUUGGAGAAAUUAAGGACCGCCUAUUCUUCUAGACAUGUCUUCUACGUAAUUAAAAUGCUCUUUAGCACUAAACCGUGUUACAAUGUGAUUCCCAGUCUCUCCAAACAAAUACAAGUCUGCACAUCUCGCCCGUUUCUUUCACGGUACCGCGUGACUUUGAAAAAAAAAUGGACAGCGCAUCAUUAUUUUCACGCGCCAAACCAUCACAUUUCUCACCGACCGUUGUGCCUUUUAUCAAGGUUGAAGAGUUAGAUGCACGCGCCUCGGUGAGCGUUCAAAACACGGCACAUAUGUUUAAAACGGCGCCGUAACAGAGAGACGAUGACCUGUCGAAAUCUCAGUAAAAGAAUAUGGACCGUUGAUUGUCAUGAUUCGCGGGACCCGCAGGUGGACCAGCUGUAAUUGCAAGGAUUUCUAAUGCUGGAAAGUCCGGUUACCUAAACCCAGCUAAACCGGAUAUGCUCAACCUCUUUAUAAACGCCUCACCACAUUGCUAAUUUCACCAAAAAACCUUCAGAGCUUUAAAACAUUUCGAAUCAACAAAAACCCUAGCCUCCUCCUUUUCUUGCUCUCUCUCUCUCUACAAAUCUCUGAAAUGGCGAUCUCAAAGGCCUCCGUUGUUGCUCUCGUCGCGGUGAUCGUCUCCGUCGUUGCUACCGUCGCUUCAGCUCAGUCUGAGUCUCCGGCGCCAAGCCCCACUUCUGGAUCUGGUGCCUUCUCGCCGUCCAUCGUGUCAGCUGGCGUUGCAGCCGUCGCGGCUCUUGUGUUCGGCUCUGCUCUUCGGAUCUAAGUCUUUGUGAUGGCGAUUCGUACAGAGAUAUUGUUUUGAAAAUUUUUAUAGCAUUGUUGAUGGUAUUGGUGUGUAUUCAGGAGCUAUAGAUCUCUUUCUAUUGUGUCUUUGUUACCAUUUUGCGAUAUUGUUUUUGAUUAUGAUAUGAUUCUAUUCUAUUUAUGGAUGUUUCUCAGAU